GUCGAGGCUGCAGGUAUUAUCCAGCAUUACGGUUUAGAGGAGCCUCGCUUGGGAGUAGCCCUCGCAGGCGAUUCGGAAAUCAGUCCUAGAAGAGACUAGAGAGGUGAAAUGUAAAACCUGAAUGGGGAUUGAGGAAGGAAAGCCACUGGCUAAACCUCCACGGGAGCAGCUUUUUGCACGCAGAAACGCUGGGAAUAUUUUGAUCCAACAAACAGAGGCGCCUGUGGUCCGUUGUGCGCUGACGUUUCUCUUCCCGUGUGAACGUAUUUCCUGUGACACUUGGCUGAAGUUUAGAAAAGUUCUUCACAAAUAAAGUUAGUAGCUACUGUGCAACUAACGCCCGUUUUCUCUGGUUCAAUUUGCCCCCACAGCACCCACUGACGCCAAAAUGUGACCACACUGGUUAAUUGCCAAUUAGUGCGUUAUUUUCAUUAUCCGUCUGUUCCAAUAAGGAGCGCAAAUAAACAAAGCUGGUGCUACGUCAUGUACGGCGGUGAGAGAGAGAGAGAAAAGGACCGGAUGAGAGAAAGAAAGAAAAAGGUGUUGACUGUAAAAGGUAAGAGGGGAAGAGAAAGAAGGCACGAAAGAUAGGGUCUUGUUUUAUUUUUUGCUCCCUCGUUGACCCCGGUUUGGCAGAGGCUGGGCAGAAAAGGCAGCACACCCCUCCCUGGCAAGCACAGGAGAGCCUCGUGCGCCUGCUGCUCCAUCCUGGAUUAAUCUCACAAUACACUGAACGGGACAGCGCAAAUAACGGCGCUGAGAGCGGGGUCCAGUCCACACACUCACCGAUCGAGCUUGAGACUGGAUGUGGCACUGGUUCCCUGCGGUAUCUGGUCACGUUCGUCCAGCGUCGGGAUGGAGAUGCAGCCGCUGCUUCUUUUGCAUUCUUGCUCGCCGAGCACCGUCUGUGCCUUUGCAGAGCAGCUGUGUGAUGCUGUCGGGACGGGGCGCACAAUCCACUCCGUCCCACGCCGGCCACGCCAGGGCACCAAGACUCUGCACUGUAAAAACCACCGAUCCAAAGCACUUUAAUGCAGCGAUCAUCAGAGACAGGCUGAAUAUAAAGAAACGGUCUAACACCGAGUGGCACACUGGGUUUUUUGCAGCCUACAACAUCCGCGUGGCCUCUGAGCUGCAACAUAACAUUUUGCCUCGCAGUUGGCUGCGGCUGCACGGAGCAUCCAGCGUCCAUGCCUUUUUGUAAUUGCCCCGUGAACACGGUGGUUUUCAUUCUUUUGACCCCUCUAUGAACAGCACGCCGCCGCCCUCGCUGCCCCCCCCCCCCCCCCCACCCCGUCCGAGCAGCCCCACACAAUACUGCGUGCGCGCGCGCGCUCUGCGGUAUGUGGGCUAAAUGUCGUGCAGAGGUAAUGGGAAGUAGUCGGAAGGUGAGGUCGCGGGUUCAAGGCGGGGUUAAAGAGACCCGUCCGCGGCUCCUGUUUGCUUUUUUACCACAACUCCGCUUCCUUCCUACAGAAGGAUGUGGCCGCUGUGCCACCGCGCUCACCCCGCAGCAACCCCGUCACCGCGCGGGCCGUGUUUGUUUUUCUGCGUUUAUUAAAUGUUCCCCCGACAGGAAAACGAGCGGCAUCACCGCGUCACUGGGCGCUGGUGAGUUUAGCACUUCGCAUCCCUCCUCGCCUCCCUGAGUCCGUCUAUUUAUAUCCUCACAUGUGGGCUGACUGUUCAAGGCUGCUGCUGUUUACACAACUUUUUAAAGCCUUUUCAAGGACUUUAUAUUCCAUUUAAUUAUAGCUGGCGUCUUAUCAGUUGUACAGCAACGCAGAUACAAAACUCAGCUGUUUCCACUUGUUUUUCUAGCACAAUUAUCUAAAUGCUGUAACCGAACUAAUAACCAUCCAUUAGGAGCAAUUUUCUUGCACUUUUUGCAGCUACACUUUAAAUUUACAUACACAUUACAUACAGUACGUUACUGAAAGGAAAAUGGACCCAGAUGUUCAUUUUUACUACAGAUUAUUAUUAUCUUAUUAAGGAUGACUGGCUGCAGGUCAGCUGGGUUAUCCACCAUUUUAAUUGCCACUGCACUAUUGCUCUGGCCUUUAGCCAUUUUAGCUUUACUCAGUAACAAAGGAUGAAUUAAAGAAAUUAAAUCUGUUUCCUGUGAUGUAGAUUGUUUUUUUAAAAGUUUGAAGAAUAGUGGAAUAGUACUAAUUAAAGAGCAGGAUGCUCAUAGGCCAAAACGCCUUUUUUCUUUAGUUAUUGUGUUUUGUUUAAUUUUAUGCAGAUGGUUAAAACUACACUGGUUUUACUUUAUAGCUCGUUUUUGUAUAUUAAUUAAUCAGAGGACGUUUAUAAAGUGAAAUGUGUUUUCAAAAAGUGGUGAGGAUUUGACUUGAGUUUCUGUGAGAAGAAUUUAAUAAGCAAUAAAAUUCAUUUUAAAAAUAUAUUUGUUGUCA
ensembl:lncRNA